GGCGAAUUGGGCCAUUUUUGUCCAACAGUUUUCUCAGCAACUACUUAUCAGAGCCUCAUAAUAUUUAGUAUACAGCAUUAACACAUUGUCCCAUACAAUGGAAUUCGAUUUUAGGUCUGUCACUCAUCCACUUCAUGUUUACUGACUUAGUUAAAUUCAUAAUAAUGGUCAAUGGUAGGAAUUUUUCGUAACAAUUUUCUUAGCAACUACUCAUCACAGCCUCUUGAUAUUUGGUAUACAGCAUCAACAUCUAGUCACAUACAAUGGGAUAUGAUUUCAGAUGUCUACAUCGGGACUUAUAUUUGUAGUAUCCGCGUUGUUGCUCGGAUACAUUACUACAGUCAGCUGUCAAGUGAGCUUUUCUACACAUUGGGGUGGAGGAAAAAGAUCAUCAAUUUUCAAAAGUCAGCCAGAUGGAAGAUCUCUUCCUUCCAUGUUUGCUACUGAAAAAGAAUCGUCUAUUUUUGACUCUCCUUAUGAACUGUCAAAGAUGUUUAGGGACAAAAACAAUUUAUGGCAAUGCUUAGACAGAAUGGAAGUCAAUGUUUUGAAGUACAUAUCUCUAAUACUGGAGAAAGAAAAAAGAUCAGCAAAGAAAUGUAUUACAACAAAAGAUGUUGAUUACGACUGAAACCUAAAUGUUUGACCAGCCAUUUUUUUAUAUGAUUUAAAAUUAUGGUUUUCUAAGGUCCGGAAAUUAAGUUAAAACUUUCAGGCCCUAAAUUCGUCUUUUAUCUGGAUAAAAAACAACAGACAAAGAAUGAACUGUAAAAUUUAUAUGGUAUUUUAAAAUAUUAUUCAAAACAUAGAAGUUCAGCGACGUCAAAAAGAUUUAAUGUUUUACUGUCAUUUUGUGUACCAAAUAAAGAUUUAAGUAAAAUAAAACCAAUAUGUUUUUU